GGUAAGUGGAGACUGUUCCCUGAGCAUUUUGGUCCCUCUGACUUGGUCUCAGGGCUCUCUGAAGCUGUCCUCUGAGAGCUCUGGCGAGGUGUCCUGGUGCCCUGAUGACACAGCUUCAUUCCUGCUGCAAGGAGCAAAGCUUGAGCGCCCAGCCACAAAAUAGGAAAAGCAAAAUCUGGGGCUGGACAAGCACUGGUGAGCUUGGCUCUGUGGAGAGGCACACCUGACCCCCAGGUUGCUGUGUCCUGAGUUGGGGUGUGCGGGGCUUGUGCAAUCUGACACAGGACUUCGAUGCUGGCUUUGUCAUGACUACUGUCUACUCAUGUGACCUCAUCUGUACUUUCUGCUCGAUGCUUUCAUAUGCUCUCUUCUUGUCUCCGUCCUUUUACCUGCAGAUCACCUGUUACGGGAGGCGGAAGGGUGGAGAGUGAGCCCAUUUUGAAAGAGAGACCGGAACCGAUGAUGAGUAGAUAAGGCCGUGGGAGUCUGCUGGAUUAUGGUGGAACUGGAGGAUUGCAGGGACUCUCACCUAUGGAGAAGACAGGUGUUGGUAGGAGGUAUGCUGGGAAGAGCUUUGCUAUAUCUCCGGAAGGAAGAAGAUUGUUUCCCCUCGGGGGAUGGCACUUUCAACAUGUGGGAGCUUGUCGGGUCACAGAAGAAUGACAGGUGAGCUUCAGUGAUGCUCCUGGUGACUAAUGCUGUGGUUAAGAAUGCAGCUGUAAAAAGCUCUCUAAAAAGCAUGGAUCAGACAAUUGUAUCUUAUUAAUUCAAAACCUCCAACAAUGAAAGCUUACGAUUGCAAGAAUAAUCUUUGUUUCUGCAAUGAUUUGAUGGGGCAAAAGGGAAAUAAUCCUUAAAUGGAUGAUUUUUUAACCGUAAGGCAAGUGAAAUCUCAGUAAAAGACAAACUCUCUCCCCACCUUGCCCACAUUGCCUCCACUCUCACACUUAUACACAUGAAAUGCUAUUGAGAGGCCGGUGUAUAACGAGCCCAUCAGAGAGCCAAGGCAGCUUCAGUGUUAUCAUCUGAUGUUGUCUACCUGUGGGAGAUAGCACAGCAUGGGGUUUUGCUGUCAGAUUCAUAUUUGAACCCAGACUCUAAUAACUUAUUA
rnacentral:lncRNA from 1 species